GUUAAUAUCCUGUACAAACAAACAAAGAGGGGAAAUUAUGCUUCGUCUGCUCAGCAACAUAUUCUCUUAAUCUCAUGCCGCUAGAGACCAGACCAUCAUUAUUUUAAGAAAAUCGUGCUCUUAAGGGAUCAAGCAUUACAGAAUGGGCCUGUGACUAGGCAGAUGUGAGUCCUGUUGCGGUGAUUAUUCUUCUGCUUGCGUCAUUGAACUCUUGCUCUAACCCUUGGAUUUAUCUAGCAUUCAGUGGCAGUCUGCU
rnacentral:misc_RNA from 1 species